rnacentral:rRNA from 1 species
UACGUAGGGUGCAAGCGUUAAUCGGAAUUACUGGGCGUAAAGCGUGCGCAGGCGGCUUUGCAAGACAGAUGUGAAAUCCCCGGGCUUAACCUGGGAACUGCAUUUGUGACUGCAUGGCUGGAGUGCGGCAGAGGGGGAUGGAAUUCCGCGUGUAGCAGUGAAAUGCGUAGAUAUCUGGAGGAACACCGGUGGCGAAGGCGGCAUCCUGGACCGGCAUUGACGCUGAGGAGCGAAAGCCAGGGGAGCAAACGGG